AAAAUUUGAAAUGUUUGUUGAUUUUCGUCGUCCAAUCAGGGUUGAGUGUAUUUUGAGUUGUUCAACGACUUCCGCUUUUUGUCCAGCAAACCCGGCAAGCGGAUAUAUUUUGGCCGAAUUUUGUUAUUCCCUCACGGAUUUCAGAGCGAAUUUGAGCUCUUUGAUUAAAGCAUCGUUGUUUUGAGAGUUAUACGGUAUCAUUCUUGCAGGGGAUGUCGAGUAAUCGUGAAAGAAAUGCAUUAAAGGCGAAAAAUCGAGGAUAGUUUCGUGUGACAUAUGCCAAGUCUGGGC